UCUAGAAUUCCAGAUUGACACGUACGUGUCAUAACCUCCUUUAAUCUCUCGCAACAAUUUCAGCGUAGGUAUCCUUUUUGCGAUUUCGCAUAACUUCCCAAAUUAGAAGAGACAGAAAAAUGCAACACAGUGCUGGUUGGUUUCCCCUAAUUACUUCUGUUCUUCUGUCCAUGAAGAAGAGGCAUAUACUAUCGAACAUCACAAAAAUCUACAAAUCGGCUGUUUAUGGUCUGCUCCGUGUGUUUUGUGGGUUCAAUGGAUUUUAGUGACUGGUCACCCGAGUUUGAUUUAAACUUUUGGUCUUUCACCAACAGGAAGAACAGCUAAUGAUAUCUAUUUUGUCCGUGCAAGGAACAUUUUUAAUACCACAAUGCUUGCCCCAUUGCCAACUAUUGCUGAUCGUAGUUCCAGAAAAUUGAAGUUAAAUCAUGGGACCUCCAACCUCCACACACAUUUUGUACAAAACACACAUUGAGUUUGUGCCUCUUUUUGUUUGCAGCCUAUACUGAGAAUUCAGCUAGAGAUUAUGGUACUUCCAUUGACAUUUAUAAAGUUAACAUUCUAAAUUUUUGGUUUA